GUUUCAGGCUAAAUUGGAACAUUGCGCUCAAUGCUGAAGAAUGAUAUUUGUUGUUUAUCGUUUUACAGAAUUCUUCUAACUCAGGCCCAAACAUCUCCACACUGUCCCCAUCCUCAAGCCCUGCCGUCCACUCCACCCCUAUUUGUACAGGAGCCAUUUAAUAGAGCAAACAGUAUUCGUUUGGCAGUUUAUUUGUGCUGCACCAAAAAAAACAGAGAAGCCAAAACAGAAAGAAAAAGGAAAAACAAAAAACCAGAAAUGGAGAAGUGUUCCCUUUCCAGACAAUCAUGAAGAAAAGAGAUAGGGAUGCGCUGAGGCUGGACUACCCGAAGGCAUCGGGGUGUCCAGAGAAGCUGGGCUUGAGGGAGGCAGCAGCUCCAACACCUUAGAGCCUUGGGAACAGUCCCUGUGACAGCCACACUGAUUGAGAGGAAAAAGCACAGCGGGAGAAGUUGAUCUCUUUCCACUGGGAGAUUGAUCUGCACUAGGUAAGUCUAUGAAUCCAUAAAGCCUCUUCAUCUCUAGAGUCUGUGAUUUCCUGUCUUCUCUAAAAGUCCUUGGCAAAACAGACAUUUAUUAAUGGUAUGAAACAGGCACUAUAUUGCAGUACAAAACGAAAAACGACCUCCACGUCUCAGUGCCUUUUCUCACUCCUGAGGUCCGCCGCAGGCUGGGUGACCCUCCCCGGCACCCGCCCUUCAUGCUGUAACCGGUGCAGCUCUGCCGUCUCGGCAGGAGGUUUCCUUGACUGCCUGGGCAAGGGAGGAGACAGCUGGAGCGUUGGGCGCUGCCUCUUCGAUUCUGACCUGUAGGAUUCACAGGUCCACAGUCCAUCAGCCAGAAUUAG
rnacentral:lncRNA from 1 species